GCCAGCAGUUGGAUCACCCUUUAGUUCACAGCUGGCAACUGAACCUAAGCAGGUGUGGGCCUGGUCAGUACCUGGAUGGGAGACCUCCUGGGAAAAACUAAGGUAACUGCUGGAA
rnacentral:rRNA from 1 species